CCUGUCUGUAGCAUUCGUAAAAUGCGGCAACAUGCUGCUCAUGGAAGCCCGGGAAACACUUCCUGAAGCUCUGCAGGCAUAGUGAAAGAAAGCUCAAAGACGCUGCAUCACACUAUAUGAAUUUGGCUUGAAAACCACCCUCUGUUGCAUGCACACCUGCUCAUCUGUCCUUACGAAGGCACUUCUCAAAGUAGCGUUAAAGCUGUCUCUUAGCAGCUGAAGACGAUCGUUCUGCUGACUGGACUCCAUGGUUGAUACAAUUGAGUGUUCCCGUGCAGACAAUAGGACGACGUGCACUG
rnacentral:lncRNA from 1 species